rnacentral:misc_RNA from 1 species
AUCAUGUUGAUUAUUUUAUUGAUUGUCAUCACUCAGGAGAAGGUGAAAGUUUAUGGGUGAUUGGUGGAACUAAUGGUGGUGCAUUAGGCUAUUUUCCUGUAAAUUAUAGAGCAGGGACAAUAGGAUCACCGGAAGCAAUUCUUGGGGGUGGGCAUACGGGUGUUGUUAGGAGUGUAUUGCCGAUGUCAAGCAUGAAGCAUGGACUUGCCCAAAGUCGAGACAUUUUUGGAUGGACUGGCGGUGAAGAUGGCCGCUUAUGUUGCUGGUCAUCUGAUGAUUCUACAACGAUAAAUCGCGCUUGGAUUUCAGGUGCACUGGUUAUGAGAUCCUCAAAAUCCCGCAAGAAAAAGAGGCAUCUACCUUAUUAACAGAAUGAUGUGUUAAAAAAUUUAUAUGUUCUCUAUGUUCUUUUCAGAGUUAUUUUAAAAAAUUUUAAUUUUCUCCCUCUAUUUUUCAGAUUUAUCUUCCAAUUUUGCAGCAACGAGCAUGCUUCU